AUUUGUAUUGAUGGGGUCGAAGCCCAAGGGCGUACAUCUAUCUCCCCUCUAACUCAACCAUCCCUGUUGCACCCCUCAAUCUAACCUCUCGGCUCUCUCUGUCUUGCAAUUGGCGGGGCUCGUGCGAAGGCUCAACGGAGCUGCAAGGGGUGCGAAAGGGCUCAGUUGUGUUUCAGACGUUACAGGGAGGGGGCUCUCGAUUGCGAUGGGCUUGCGGGUAGUUGACUGACAGUGCUCGGGGCAGCAACGUGGCUUGGGACUCUCGACAGGGCUGGGCGGAGCGAUGUGGCUUGGGGCUCUCGACGGUGGCAGCUUCAACGGGGUGAGCGAUGGGUCCUCCUCCAUAUUUGUAUGUACCAACUAGCUUGGUCGUUUGUCAACUAACAUUAAGCUUUCAAGCAACAAGAUUUUAAGGUAUAUUCAUGUAAAAGGUGAAAGUCAUAUAUGAGUUUCCUUUUUAAGGUAUAUUCAUGUGAAAAACAUUUAUCAAGUGAUAAUUUACCCCUAGACAUAUGGGAAUGGGUAGGAGUAAAUUUUGGGACAAAAUAACUUAGUGGAUCACAAAUAAAUAAUAUUUCAAAUAACAUUCUCUCAUUAAUAUAAUAUUCUUUUUUGUCAACGAUAAA